GAGUAGUGGAAGUUAAAGACAGAAGAUUGCAAGAUUAUGCAGGCAAUUACAAUUACUAUCUAGAGAAGAAUCUAGAUGCUAGGGAAAGAGAGCUCGAGCGUGAGGCAGAGAUUGAGGAGAAGGCUCCUAGUCAAAGCCAAAUCAAAGAUGUCUAAGGCUGAAAAGGAAGCUCGGAAGAAGCAAAAGAUGCAGGCAUUCCAGCAAGCAAAGGCAAAAUCGAAAAAGGAAUAAAGAACGCUAAGAGAUGGAAUAAAAGUAGCUUAUUUCGAAGAGGCCUACUUUACCAGCUAGUCGAUCAUGUAUGUAUAUACCAUACUAACUGUUAAUAGAUUUCCAGGAACAAGUGAGGCUGCACCAGAAAUCCUGUACCUGAAGCAUCUGCUUUUUUGCUCAUUAAUCGCAGAAUAUGAAACACAAGUACGUGCUUAUAAAAUCUAACCCACAUGAGAGC
rnacentral:lncRNA from 1 species